CACUCCUACGGGAGGCAGCAGUGGGGAAUAUUGCACAAUGGGCGCAAGCCUGAUGCAGCCAUGCCGCGUGUAUGAAGAAGGCCUUCGGGUUGUAAAGUACUUUCAGCAGUGAGGAAGGUGGGUAUGUUAAUAGCAUACUCAUUUGACGUUAGCUGCAGAAGAAGCACCGGCUAACUCCGUGCCAGCAGCCGCGGUAAUACGGAGGGUGCGAGCGUUAAUCGGAAUUACUGGGCGUAAAGCGCAUGCAGGUGGUUUGUUAAGUCAGAUGUGAAAGCCCGGGGCUCAACCUCGGAAUUGCAUUUGAAACUGGCAAACUAGAGUACUGUAGAGGGGGUAGAAUUUCAGGUGUAGCGGUGAAAUGCGUAGAGAUCUGAAGGAAUACCGGUGGCGAAGGCGGCCCCCUGGACAGAUACUGACACUCAGAUGCGAAAGCGUGGGGAGCAAACAGGAUUAGAUACCCUGGUAA
rnacentral:rRNA from 1 species